AACGAACGCUUGGCGGCAUGCCUAACACAUGCAAGUCGAACGAAGCCUUCGGGCUUAGUGGCGCACGGGUGCGUAACACGUGGGAAUCUGCCCUUCGGUUCGGAAUAACAGUUAGAAAUGACUGCUAAUACCGGAUGAUGACGAAAGUCCAAAGAUUUAUCGCCGAAGGAUGAGCCCGCGUAGGAUUAGGUAGUUGGUAGGGUAAUGGCCUACCAAGCCGACGAUCCUUAGCUGGUCUGAGAGGAUGAUCAGCCACACUGGGACUGAGACACGGCCCAGACUCCUACGGGAGGCAGCAGUGGGGAAUAUUGGACAAUGGGCGAAAGCCUGAUCCAGCAAUGCCGCGUGAGUGAUGAAGGCCUUAGGAUUGUAAAGCUCUUUUACCAGGGAUGAUAAUGACAGUACCUGGAGAAUAAGCUCCGGCUAACUCCGUG
rnacentral:rRNA from 1 species